AUGUGGUCAGAGGCUCUGCUGCUGUGGAUGCUGCUGCUCCAGGCUCCAGGCUCUACUGGAGACAUUGUCCUGACACAAUCUCCAGUCUCCUUGGCUGUGCUUGCAGGGGAGAGGGUCACCAUCUCCUGCACAGCCUCUGAGGGCAUCAGUAUUAUGGGCAUUAAGAGUGUUAUGCAGUGCUAUCAACAGAAACCAGGACAGGCUCCCAAACUCCUCAUCUCCAGAGCAUCCUAUCUUGAGUCUGGAUUCCUAGACCUGUUUAGUGGCAGUCAGUCUGAGACAGACUUCACCCUCACCAUUCACCUUGUGGAGGCUGAGGAUGCCACAGACUCUUACUAUCACCAGGGUAAGGCGCUGCCUCCCACGUUGCUCUAG